rnacentral:rRNA from 1 species
GACGUAGGGGGCGAGCGUUAUUCGGAAUUAUUGGGCGUAAAGCGCUCGUAGGCGGGACAGGAAGUCCGUGAAGAAAGACCUGGGCUCAACUCAGGGAACGGCACGGAUACUCUUGUUCUUGAGGCAAUCAGAGGGUGAUGGAAUUCCCGGUGUAGCGGUGAAAUGCGUAGAGAUCGGGAGGAACACCAGUGGCGAAAGCGGCGAACUGGCCUGCAACUGACGCUGAGGCGCGAAGGCUAGGGGAGCAAACAGG